AUGUGUGUACCCAAGAACCAAGGAGGAAUGGGUUUUCGGGAUAUCCAUUGUUUCAAUUUGGCUAUGCUUGCUAAACAGGCUUGGCGUCUUCUCGAGAAUCCGGAUUCUCUAUGUGCUACUAUUUUGAGAGUCAAAUACUAUCCUGACGGUGACUUGUUGAACACUGACCUGAAGAAGGGAUCUUCCUUCACCUGGCAAAGUAUUAUGGCGGGUGUGAGCUCCCUGAAGCGUGGUCAUAUUUGGCGAGUGGGAAACGGGCAGAAUAUUGACAUUUGGGAGGACGCAUGGAUUCCCAAUUGUGCAAACCGUAAAAUUGUUACCCCUAAGGGAGGCCAGUUGUCACGGAAGGUAGCAGAUUUGAUUGAUCCAAUCCUAAAUAGUUGGGAUGAAGAUCUUCUCAGACAGACUCUAUGGCCUAUUGAUGUUCAGCGGGUGCUUACGAUCCCGAUAUCGCAACAUGAUAUGCCAGAUUUCAUAGCUUGGAAUUUCAUAAAAAAUGGGAUUUUUUCGGUUCGGUCUGCUUAUUUUAUGGAAUGGGACCACCAAUAUGGGAACAAGUUACGACAUACCAAUGGGAUGGGACGUACCAUGGUCAAUCCUAUUUGGGCGAGGAUUUGGAAAGUCACGGCACUAUUCCGUGUCGUGUUAACUUAG
rnacentral:rRNA from 1 species